rnacentral:rRNA from 1 species
AUUACCGCGGCUGCUGGCACGGAGUUAGCCGAGUGCUUAUUCUUCUGGUACCGUCAACCACAUAAGAAUACAUGGGUUUCUUCCCAAAUAAAAGAAGUUUACAACCCAGAGGGCCUUCAUCCUCCACGCGGCAUGGCUGGUUCAGACUUGCCUCCAUUGACCAAUAUUCCUUACUGCUGCCUCCCGUAGG